rnacentral:rRNA from 1 species
GUGGGGAAUUUUGGACAAUGGGCGCAAGCCUGAUCCAGCAAUGCCGCGUGCAGGAAGAAGGCCUUCGGGUUGUAAACUGCUUUUGUACGGAACGAAACGGUCCGGGUUAAUACCCUGGGCUAAUGACGGUACCGUAAGAAUAAGCACCGGCUAACUACGUGCCAGCAGCCGCGGUAAUACGUAGGGUGCAAGCGUUAAUCGGAAUUACUGGGCGUAAAGCGUGCGCAGGCGGUUUUGUAAGACAGGCGUGAAAUCCCCGGGCUCAACCUGGGAAUUGGGGUUGUGACUGCAAGGCUGGAGUGCGGCAGAGGGGGAUGGAAUUCCGCGUGUAGCAGUGAAAUGCGUAGAUAUGCGGAGGAACACCGAUGGCGAAGGCAAUCCCCUGGACCUGUACUGACGCUCAUGCACGAAAGCGUGGGGAGCAAACAGGAUUAGAUACCCUGGUAGUCC